rnacentral:rRNA from 1 species
UACGGAAGGGGCGAGCGUUGUUCGGAAUUACUGGGCGUAAAGAGCUCGUAGGUGGUUUGUCGCGUUGUCCGUGAAAACUCACAACUCAAUUGUGGGCGUGCGGGCGAUACGGGCAGACUGGAGUACUGCAGGGGAGACUGGAAUUCCUGGUGUAGCGGUGGAAUGCGCAGAUAUCAGGAGGAACACCGGUGGCGAAGGCGGGUCUCUGGGCAGUAACUGACGCUGAGGAGCGAAAGCGUGGGGAUCAAACAGG